GUAGGGGGCAAGCGUUGUCCGGAUUUAUUGGGCGUAAAGCGCGCGCAGGCGGCCCGGUAAGUCGGAUGUGAAAACACGAGGCUCAACCUCGUGCCUGCAUCCGAUACUGCCAGGCUUGAGGCAGGUAGGGAAGAUCGGAAUUCCUGGUGUAGCGGUGAAAUGCGCAGAUAUCAGGAGGAACACCGGUGGCGAAGGCGGAUCUCUGGGCCUGUCCUGACGCUCAGGCGCGAAAGCUAGGGGAGCAAACAGGAUUAGAUACCCUGGUAGUCCUAGCCGUAAACGAUGGGUGCUAGGUGUGGGAGGUGUCAACCCCUUCCGUGCCGAAGCUAACGCAUUAAGCACCCCGCCUGGGGAGUACGGCCGCAAGGCUA
rnacentral:rRNA from 1 species